CCUACGGGAGGCAGCAGUGGGGAAUAUUGCACAAUGGGCGCAAGCCUGAUGCAGCGACGCCGCGUGAGGGAUGACGGCCUUCGGGUUGUAAACCUCUUUCAGUAGGGAAGAAGCGAAAGUGACGGUACCUGCAGAAGAAGCGCCGGCUAACUACGUGCCAGCAGCCGCGGUAAUACGUAGGGCGCAAGCGUUAUCCGGAAUUAUUGGGCGUAAAGAGCUCGUAGGCGGUUUGUCGCGUCUGCCGUGAAAGUCCGGGGCUCAACUCCGGAUCUGCGGUGGGUACGGGCAGACUAGAGUGAUGUAGGGGAGACUGGAAUUCCUGGUGUAGCGGUGAAAUGCGCAGAUAUCAGGAGGAACACCGAUGGCGAAGGCAGGUCUCUGGGCAUUAACUGACGCUGAGGAGCGAAAGCAUGGGGAGCGAACAGGAUUAGAUACCCUGGUAGUCCAUGCCGUAAACGUUGGGCACUAGGUGUGGGGGACAUUCCACGUUUUCCGCGCCGUAGCUAACGCAUUAAGUGCCCCGCCUGGGGAGUACGGCCGCAAGGCUAAAACUCAAAGGAAUUGACGG
rnacentral:rRNA from 1 species